GGAAAGAUGUCCGAGUGGUUGAUGGUGCGGAUUUGGAAUGUCCGUGGUUUUUCCCGAGGGUUCGAAUCCCUCUCUUUCCG
rnacentral:tRNA from 1 species